AUUCUCUUUCUUAUAAAUACUGCCUGGUUAUCAUGUAAUUACUGGAGUUAAUUUACUUAUUCGAUAUUCAGUAUUUGGGUCAAUAUUCGGACUUAUCCAGUUCCGACAGUUAUGAGCCCGGGUUAGCUACCUAUCACUAUCUAUUCAAUUAUAUUGAUAUCUAUCCAUACCGACCUCCUUAUCGGCAAAGAUAUCUAUCUAUAUCUAUCUUGAUAUCUAUCCAUACCGACCUCCUUAUCGGCAAAGAUAUCUAUUUGAUUAUAUCUAUCUAUCUGAUCUCACCGACCUCCUCAUCGGCGACGAUUGCAGCAAUAUCUAUAUCUAUAUCUAUAUCUAUAUCUAUAUCUAUAUCUAUAUCUAUCCAAUCCUCAUCGACCUACAUAUCGGCGAGAGAUAGCGGCGUAUUCUAUAUCGAUUAUAUCCAUUCAAUCCUAUAUUGAUUAUAUUCAUUUGAUUUUAUAUCGAUUAUCCAUUCGAUUCUAUAUCGGUUUUAUAUCUAUAUACAACGACCAAGAUGUCAGCAGAAAAUUCCUCAUCAAAAACAUCACUUUUCUUGGAUUCUUCUAGGAAAUGGAACCUAUGGUACAACAUGAUACUAGGUCUUGCCACUGAGCUCCAAGUACUGAAUUUUAUUAGUGAUGGAAGUCCCAAUAGAAUGAGUGAAAUACCUGCAUCUAUUCCCCCAGAAUUCCCUACUGAGCACACCAUGGAAGCAAGAGUUAAAUGGGA
rnacentral:sRNA from 1 species